AGCAGUGGGGAAUUUUGGACAAUGGGCGCAAGCCUGAUCCAGCAAUGCCGCGUGAGUGAAGAAGGCCUUCGGGUUGUAAAGCUCUUUUGUCAGGGAAGAAACGGUGAGAGCUAAUAUCUCUUGCUAAUGACGGUACCUGAAGAAUAAGCACCGGCUAACUACGUGCCAGCAGCCGCGGUAAUACGUAGGGUGCAAGCGUUAAUCGGAAUUACUGGGCGUAAAGCGUGCGCAGGCGGUUUUGUAAGUUUGUCGUGAAAGCCCCGGGCUCAACCUGGGAAUUGCGAUGAAGACUGCAAGGCUUGAAUCUGGCAGAGGGGGGGUAGAAUUCCACGUGUAGCAGUGAAAUGCGUAGAGAUGUGGAGGAACACCGAUGGGCGAAGGCAGCCCCCUGGGUCAAGAUUGACGCUCAUG
rnacentral:rRNA from 1 species